rnacentral:tRNA from 1 species
AUUUAUGUAGUUUAACGAAAACAUUACAUUUUCACUGUAAAAACAAGGGGCCUUCCUUCAUAAAUA